rnacentral:rRNA from 1 species
AACGAACGCUGGCGGCAGGCCUAACACAUGCAAGUCGAACGCCGUAGCAAUACGGAGUGGCAGACGGGUGAGUAACGCGGGGGAACCUACCUUACGGUCGGGAAUAGCUCAGGGAAACUUGGGGUAAUACCGGAUACGCCCUUACGGGGAAAGAUUUAUGGCCGAUAGAUGGGCCCGCGUAGGACUCGCUAGUUGGAGAGGUAAUGGCCCACCAAGGCGACGACCCUUAGCUGGUCUGAGAGGAUGAUCAGCCACACUGGGACGGGGACACGGACCGGACUCCUACGUGAGGCAGCAGUGGGGAAUAUUGGAAAAUGGGCGCAAGCCUGAUCCAGCCAGGCCGCGUGAGUGACGAAGGCCUUAGGGUUGUAAAGCUCUUUUGGCGGGGAAGAUAAUGACGGUACCCGCAGAAUAAGCUCCGGCUAACUUCGUGCCAGCAGCCGCAGUAG